UUGGGAAUCUUGCACAAUGGGGGAAACCCUGAUGCAGCGACGCCGCGUGGAGGAUGACGGGUCUAGGCCUGUAAACUCCUUUUAUGGGGAAAGACUUAGGACGGUACCCCAUGAAUAAGGACCGGCUAACUACGUGCCAGCAGCCGCGGUAAGACGUAGGGUCCAAGCGUUGUCCGGAUUUACUGGGCGUAAAGAGCGCGUAGGCGGUCUGUUAAGUGAGAAGUGAAAUCUCCAGGGCUCAACCCGGAAACGGCUUUUCAUACUGGCAGACUGGAGGGAUGCAGAGGUUUGUGGAAUUCCUGGUGUAGCGGUGAAAUGCGUUGAUAUCAGGAGGAACACCCAUGGCGAAGGCAGCAAACUGGGCAUCAUCUGACGCUGAGGCGCGAAAGCGUGGGUAGCAAACAGGAUUAGAUACCCCCGUAGUCC
rnacentral:rRNA from 1 species